ensembl:snRNA U6 U6 spliceosomal RNA
GUGCUUGCUUCGGCAGCACAUAUACUAAAAUUGGAACGAUACAGAGAAGAUUAGCAUGGCCCCUGCACAAGGAUGACAUGCAAAUUUGUGAAGUGUUCCAUGUUUUU